rnacentral:rRNA from 1 species
AGAGUUUGAUCCUGGCUCAGGAUGAACGCUGGCGGCGUGCCUAAUACAUGCAAGUCGAGCGAACGGACGAGAAGCUUGCUUCUCUGAUGUUAGCGGCGGACGGGUGAGUAACACGUGGAUAACCUACCUAUAAGACUGGGAUAACUUCGGGAAACCGGAGCUAAUACCGGAUAAUAUUUUGAACCGCAUGGUUCAAAAGUGAAAGACGGUCUUGCUGUCACUUAUAGAUGGAUCCGCGCUGCAUUAGCUAGUUGGUAAGGUAACGGCUUACCAAGGCAACGAUGCAUAGCCGACCUGAGAGGGUGAUCGGCCACACUGGAACUGAGACACGGUCCAGACUCCUACGGGAGGCAGCAGUAGGGAAUCUUCCGCAAUGGGCGAAAGCCUGACGGAGCAACGCCGCGUGAGUGAUGAAGGUCUUCGGAUCGUAAAACUCUGUUAUUAGGGAAGAACAUAUGUGUAAGUAACUGUGCACAUCUUGACGGUACCUAAUCAGAAAGCCACGGCUAACUACGUGCCAGCAGCCGCGGUAAUACGUAGGUGGCAAGCGUUAUCCGGAAUUAUUGGGCGUAAAGCGCGCGUAGGCGGUUUUUUAAGUCUGAUGUGAAAGCCCACGGCUCAACCGUGGAGGGUCAUUGGAAACUGGAAAACUUGAGUGCAGAAGAGGAAAGUGGAAUUCCAUGUGUAGCGGUGAAAUGCGCAGAGAUAUGGAGGAACACCAGUGGCGAAGGCGACUUUCUGGUCUGUAACUGACGCUGAUGUGCGAAAGCGUGGGGAUCAAACAGGAUUAGAUACCCUGGUAGUCCACGCCGUAAACGAUGAGUGCUAAGUGUUAGGGGGUUUCCGCCCCUUAGUGCUGCAGCUAACGCAUUAAGCACUCCGCCUGGGGAGUACGACCGCAAGGUUGAAACUCAAAGGAAUUGACGGGGACCCGCACAAGCGGUGGAGCAUGUGGUUUAAUUCGAAGCAACGCGAAGAACCUUACCAAAUCUUGACAUCCUUUGACAACUCUAGAGAUAGAGCUUUCCCCUUCGGGGGACAAAGUGACAGGUGGUGCAUGGUUGUCGUCAGCUCGUGUCGUGAGAUGUUGGGUUAAGUCCCGCAACGAGCGCAACCCUUAAGCUUAGUUGCCAUCAUUAAGUUGGGCACUCUAAGUUGACUGCCGGUGACAAACCGGAGGAAGGUGGGGAUGACGUCAAAUCAUCAUGCCCCUUAUGAUUUGGGCUACACACGUGCUACAAUGGACAAUACAAAGGGCAGCGAAACCGUGAGGUCAAGCAAAUCCCAUAAAGUUGUUCUCAGUUCGGAUUGUAGUCUGCAACU